UAAGCAUAUCAAUAAGCGGAGGAAAAGAAACCAACAGGGAUUGCCUCAGUAACGGCGAGUGAAGCGGCAACAGCUCAAAUUUGAAAUCUGGCCUCUUCGGGGUCCGAGUUGUAAUUUGUAGAGGAUGUUUCGGGUACCGCCUCGGUUUAAAUUUCUUGGAACAGAAUGUCAGAGAGGGUGAGAAUCCCGUCUUGGACCGGCGGUAGGGCCCAUGUGAAACUCCUUCGACGAGUCGAGUUGUUUGGGAAUGCAGCUCAAAAUGGGUGGUAAAUUUCAUCUAAAGCUAAAUAUUGGCCAGAGACCGAUAGCGCACAAGUAGAGUGAUCGAAAGAUGAAAAGAACUUUGAAAAGAGAGUUAAACAGUAUGUGAAAUUGUUGAAAGGGAAGCGCUUACAACCAGACUUGAGCGCGGCGGUUCCCCCUUCCUUUUGGUUGGGUUACUCCGCCGUGUCCAGGCCAACAUCGGUUCUGGGGGUCGGUUAAAGGCCUGGGGAAUGUAUCUACUCCUUCGGGGGUAGACUUAUAGCCCCGGGUGUCAUGCGACCACCCGGGACCGAGGAACGCGCUUCGGCUCGGAUGUUGGCGUAAUGGUUGUCAGCGACCCGUCUUGAAACACGGACCAAGGAGUCUAACAUCUAUGCGAGUGUUUGGGUGUCAAACCCGGAACGCGAAAUGAAAGUGAACGGAGGUAGGAAGCCUUUAGGCUGCACUAUCGACCGAUCCUGAUGUCUUCGGAUGGAUUUGAGUAAGAGCAUAGCUGUUGGGACCCGAAAGAUGGUGAACUAUGCCUGAAUAGGGUGAAGCCAGAGGAAACUCUGGUGGAGGCUCGCAGCGGUUCUGACGUGCAAAUCGAUCGUCAAAUUUGGGUAUAGGGGCGAAAGACUAAUCGAACCAUCUGGUAGCUGGUUCCUGCCGAA
rnacentral:rRNA from 1 species